rnacentral:rRNA from 1 species
UACGUAGGGGGCGAGCGUUGUCCGGAUUUAUUGGGCGUAAAGAGCUCGUAGGCGGCUCGUUGCGUCGGCUGUGAAAACCCGCAGCUCAACUGUGGGCUUGCAGCCGAUACGGGCGGGCUGGAGUUCGGUAGGGGAGACUGGAAUUCCUGGUGUAGCGGUGAAAUGCGCAGAUAUCAGGAGGAACACCGGUGGCGAAGGCGGGUCUCUGGGCCGAUACUGACGCUGAGGAGCGAAAGCGUGGGGAGCGAACAGGAUAGAA